UUUGCCGUACUCAAUGGCCCGUUGGAAUUAUAGUGAACUCAUUAAAAAGCUCAGACGAACAUGUCCGAAAAGCAGAAGUGCGAGUAAUCGUUAAUGGAAAAGCCACAACCUACACACGCCCUAUCGUGGACAUGAUUCUUCUCAUAGAGAACAACCCUGUGUAAUUAUAUGUAUAUAUUUUUGGAUUCAUAUAGUGACAUUCAUAUGUGUUAUGGAAUAGUGAUAUCAGGUAGAUUUCAGACGGGGAGUAUUCUGAUUCACUUUCGCAAUUAUAUUAACUGUAUAGUCUAUUGGAUUAAAUUUUCAGACAUCCAUAUUUUCCGGAAAUAAUCUGGACUUGUCCGUAUUUUCACUAGUGCUUACUUUCUCUUCCUCACCUGUCUAUUGCAAAUGGAUGCCACGACAAAACGACUCCUGUGGAUAUUGUGACAAAUCACCGUCAAGUACGUUUCAAAUCAAUUAUAAACUGUUAAAUAUAUAUACCGUUAAUUCCGUUAACUUGGAUUCCACGUUUAUUCAACAAAUACGAACUGUAAUUGUUUAUUUCUAUGAAUUGAACUGAGAAUUCUACUUUCGUUUUUGACUUGAUAUUAUUACUGCAUUGAACAUUCAUAUAUUUCUUUCGUACAUAUUGUAAAUUUGUAUUUUUAUUUCUUUCAGUUUACCAAACAAUACACGCUCUGUAAAAACUCCUGUGUCAUUUCUGGUGGAAUUAUAAUCUACAAUCUUCAAACACAAGUUGUUAUUCUUUAUAAUUUGCCGAGAUUGCGAUACAGUCCCAUGGUUAUACUAGCUGAGUCAGGCUCAGCAUAA
rnacentral:lncRNA from 1 species